CCCUUGGGGAGUAGCCGGCCUUCGUUUCUUCGAAGGCGCCUGCGUCAACACACUCGGCAUCUUUCAUGCCGUGGCGCAGGCAACCGUAUUUCGGUUGGCGAGACCAUCGGCAUGUCACCACGACGCAGGUCGGGCAGGGUGGCGUGCCUUUGCGUCCUCGCCCGG
rnacentral:sRNA from 2 species